rnacentral:rRNA from 1 species
UGACCUCGGAUCAGGUAGGGAUACCCGCUGAACUUAAGCAUAUCAAUAAGCGGAGGAAAAGAAACCAACAGGGAUUGCCCUAGUAACGGCGAGUGAAGCGGCAACAGCUCAAAUUUGAAAUCUGGCUCUUUUAGGGUCCGAGUUGUAAUUUGCAGAGGGCGCUUUGGCGUUGGCAGCGGUUCAAGUUCCUUGGAACAGGACGUCACAGAGGGUGAGAAUCCCGUACGUGGUCGCUAACCUUCGCCGUGUAAAGCCCCUUCGACGAGUCGAGUUGUUUGGGAAUGCAGCUCUAAAUGGGAGGUAAAUUUCUUCUAAAGCUAAAUACUGGCCAGAGACCGAUAGCGCACAAGUAGAGUGAUCGAAAGAUGAAAAGCACUUUGGAAAGAGAGUCAAACAGCACGUGAAAUUGUUGAAAGGGAAGCGCUUGCAGCCAGACUUGCCUGUAGUUGCUCAUCCGGGCUUUUGCCCGGUGCACUCUUCUGCGGGCAGGCCAGCAUCAGUUUGGGCGGUUGGAUAAAGGUCUCUGUCAUGUACCUCUCUUCGGGGAGGCCUUAUAGGGGAGACGACAUGCAACCAGCCUGGACUGAGGUCCGCGCAUUCGCUAGGAUGCUGGCGUAAUGGCUGUAAGCGGCCCGUCUUGAAACACGGACCAAGGAGUCUAACAUCUAUGCGAGUGUUUGGGUGUCAAGCCCGAGCGCGUAAUGAAAGUGAACGGAGGUGGGACCCCAUUAGGGUGCACCAUCGACCGAUCCUGAUGUCUUCGGAUGGAUUUGAGUAAGAGCAUGGCUGUUGGGACCCGAAAGAUGGUGAACUAUGCUUGAAUAGGGUGAAGCCAGAGGAAACUCUGGUGGAGGCUCGCAGCGGUUCUGACGUGCAAAUCGAUCGUCAAAUUUGGGCAUAGGGGCGAAAGACUAAUCGAACUAUCUAGUAGCUGGUUCCUGCCGAAGUUUCCCUCAGGA